CUCCAGAGGUGGAGUAGGGUAGUUCUUAAAGGGCCCAGCACAGCAUCCCCUGCCACCUAGGAGGGGCUGCACAAUGAUGAGAGGGGAAGCCUGGAAGGCCCAGUUCCAGCCAGAAGACUACCCUGCCCACAAGAGGGAUCCAUUCUCCUGAAGCCCAAGGCUUUCAAGCCUUGACCAGGACCUCUUCAGCAUGCUGCUUCCUAUCCAUGCUGUCUCCAGAGGAUCUGAAAGUUCUCUCCCCUAGAAGAAGUCCCCAAACAUCUUCUGCCCUUCACUGGUCUCAGACCCUGGCCACCCAGGCCCAGCAAGGAGGUGCCCAGCCGCACUGGCCGAGAGCAGGGAGGAAGAGAGCGCGCAGACUGGCAGAGGCCGCUGAGUGAGCAGGACUUCGCGGGCAAGGGAUAGAGCUGGGCAGAGAUGUGGAGAAAGAUGGGCCCAGAGCACACGGGAUGGGAAAACGUUGGAGAGGGGUCGACCCGGAGACAUAUGACUGACAGUCGAGGAAGAGAUUGACCGGCGGCGGAGAGACGAGAAGAAACGGGUGAGCCAGACAUGCGUAAGAAAAGGAGGGAGUCCAAAAGAGAAAAGAAACGGGACAGAAAACAGCCUGGACGCCUCAGGCUCUCUCUGCAGCCCCUUCCUCAGGAGUGGAUGUGGGAUCUGACCAGACCUGUUGGGGGCGCCAGAAUCAGGUGAAGACACUUGGUGGCCCCAAGUCGCUGAACACCGCUCCUGAUUCUCUCUACCUUAUGAGAGAUUUCUGUGCCAUCUUUUCUCCCAAGAGGACUCUGCACAGCAGGUUCAAGCUCACACCUCCACUCCAAAGCAGCUUCAGUAGUCCCCUCUUCCCCACCUCCUGGUUUGGAGUUGGGCCAUCACUAAGGUCUUACUUUCAACUCAAGUCCCAGUGGGAGGUGUUUUGUUUUAUUUUGUUUUGCGGUAGUGGAGACCGAACUCAGGUCCUUGCACUUGCAAGGCAGGCACGAUGCCACUGAGCUAGAUCCUCGCCCCCACCCCCGUGGGAGUGCUAUGAUUUAACCUUACACCCUUCCUUUGCAGUGUCUGCAUCUGGUACUGGAUAGGAACUUCUGGAAUUGAGCUAAUGGGCCGUAGGGCUGGUUUGUGCUGCUCUGGAGGGGAAGGUGGUGGUGGGAGGAUGAAAUCGGAUGUCUUAGAAGCUCUGAACCUAUUGCCGUUCCUAAUUCCCCAGCCCUCUUUAGCAGUGAGCAUUUUUUUUCUGGGGAGGAUUAAUGGGGAUUGAACCCAGGGUUUUGCCCAUGCUAGGCAAGUGCUCUGGCCACUGAGCUAUGCCCCCAGCGUAGCAGAGAGCAUUUCCUGAAACUCUUCCGAUGUUACUCUUCCCCACUGCAGUUUCCAUGAUGAAAAGGAGGGGUGGGGAGGAUUCUGUGAAGCCAGUGCCGAGGGCUCCAGGCCCAGUGCCUGCCCAAAGCAGCUAGCAGUGCUGGCUGUAAGACCCUCUGGGCCUCCUUGUCUCACAUGAAUGUCUUCUGUGCUCUUGUCUUGGCAAAGGUUGGGAAGUCUGGUUCUGAUUACAAGGGGUUGGAGUAUCCGAUUCCAAUCUGGCUGCAGGGAAGAGGCAGGGCACGGUGACAGUGUGGACCCGACCCGACACCCACCCCCAAUACUGGCAUUUGGGAGGGGUGGAUAUGCUCCACCUUCUGAUUUUGAACCAAUCAUAUCUAAUGCUGAGAAGAGGAGCAAGAUGUCACUGCAUGGCGAAACAAAACACACUGGAGUGUGGAAUAUGUCAAAAGAAUUUCAGCAUUAAAAUGAAUUUUAAACAUCAGAUUUAUUUGGAGAAAACAAAACAAAAAACCCACAACCCAAAGGAUGGGAUUUUACAUCUCAAGACAUCUCCCAGGUAGUAAGUCUACAGAUUACAAAUCAUUUUCAUAUAAGAUAUUUUUGUACAAAUUUUACAUGGAUUCAGGAGUGGGACAUAAACCAAUCCCUGUUUAGUGGGGCAAGGAAGGGGAGUGGGGCAAAACAGCUUUUUUGGGUGCAACUAUUUGGAAGGAGAGCAGACAUGAAGAGGGCAAACUCUACCUUUUCAUUAUCUACAACCAAUGGUUUAAAAA